UACAGAGGGUGCAAGCGUUAAUCGGAAUUACUGGGCGUAAAGCGCGCGUAGGUGGUUCGUUAAGUUGGAUGUGAAAUCCCCGGGCUCAACCUGGGAACUGCAUUCAAAACUGACGAGCUAGAGUAUGGUAGAGGGUGGUGGAAUUUCCUGUGUAGCGGUGAAAUGCGUAGAUAUAGGAAGGAACACCAGUGGCGAAGGCGACCACCUGGACUGAUACUGACACUGAGGUGCGAAAGCGUGGGGAGCAAACAGGAUUAGAUACCCGGGUAGUCC
rnacentral:rRNA from 1 species